CUAGUUCCGGAGGAUCUUGGCGC
rnacentral:siRNA from 1 species